CAGUACUGUACGGUCUGUGACACUCAAGUCUCUCAUCAUGGCAAGCUACCCAGGCCCUUCGAACAAGAAACCCAGAAGGAUGUGUCACUUUGAUCGCAAUUGGAUUGCCGAGUUCCCUGGAAUCGGGAGUAGCUCAAAAGGUGAUACUUAUGUUCGAUGUUCGAUGUGUGCCUCCGAUUUAAGCUACUGUAACAUCAUUGCACCACUAUAGUUAUACCUCAUUAUCUGCGCUGUACUGAAAAGUGUAUGCUUAUAAUAUUCGUCAACCUUUUUUUAUCUACUAACUGUCCCUGAAGGCUAUUCGAAAAAAAAGUUGGAGCCUAUGGGGAUGACACUUGGGAGUCAGUAUAGAAGUUCUUGUCCUUAUCCCUACUACUAUCCGACUAGAAAAACAUUUGCAAUGUGAAAAAUUGCUAGGAUUGGUCAGGGGAACCACAAAAAAGCGUGGGAACAAGAAAUCAGACGAGAGCAUAACUCCAAUCCGUUACAACGUCAAUCACAUGUAUACUGGUAGUUUUCCCAUGUUUUCCCAGCCAAUAUGCCACGCAAUUUUUACUGGUGGAAUGAUGACCAAUCCCUAUAUAUAUUUAUUAUACAUCCAUUUUAGAAUGUGGGGCACAUAAUCAUGAUGAUUUGUGAUGAAUUGAUGUUCCUAAUACAUGCAGUGUUGAGCACAGGUACACACAGUCCAUCCAUGCGUAGUAACAUGCACGGACCGUACUGGUGACUGCAUGGAAUGAUGUGGUGGAUGGAAGCUGAUAGGUGGAUCUGGAACACAGUCUAUUAUUUAAUAUACUAUGUAUUGUACAUGUUCAUGACGUUGUAACGGAUUGGAGUUAUGCUCUCGUCUGAUUUCUUGUUCCCACGCUUUUUUGUGGUUCCCCUGGCCAAUCCUAGCAAUUUUUCACAUUGCAAAUGUUUUUCUAGUCGGAUUCCCUUCUUUUUCAGUACAGUUUACGUAUCAUGACAUGCAUAAGUGGAACGUCAAGAGGCAGUACAAGAAGAGAAGACAGGACUAAUCAGAUAUCUUCUCGAAUAUCUCUGGACUAAUAAUUAUAGUAUAAUGAGUAAUAAUUUAUUGCUUGAUAAUUAUGUUGAAUUUGCGAA